rnacentral:lncRNA from 1 species
AGAUAAAUCUAAUGGAUAAGCAUCCCUAGAUAUUUUUAUACAUCAUUCUAGAAUCCUUCUAGAUAGGAUAUUUCUAGAAUUCUAUUUUGGACCUUCUUUAGUUUUGGGCCUUCUCUAGUCUUGGGCUUUUAUCUUUUAGGCCCAAUUUACAUUCUAACUCUUUUUUUUUAGGAGCUUCUCCAUACUUCUAGAAUUUGCAUUACACUUUAACAGUAAUUAAGUUUGCUGCAGCUCACGACCC